rnacentral:misc_RNA from 1 species
UACAGAGUUGAAAAACUCCCAAACCCUUGUGAACAUACCUUUAACGUUGCUUCGGCGGGUGGCCCCCUCACAGGGGCCGCACAGCCCGCCGAGGUAUACCAACUCUUGUAUUUUUGUUUUUCUCUGAGUUGUCUUUUAAAUAAGUCA